GGAAUUGUUCGCAAUGGGCGCAAGCCUGACGACGCAACGCCGCGUGGAGGAUGAAGAUUUUCGGAUCGUAAACUCCUUUCGAUCGAGACGAAUGGCCCUUGGGUGAAUAGCCCGAGGGGAUGACGGUACCGCGAGAAGAAGCCCCGGCUAACUCCGGGCCAGCAGCCGCGGUAAUACGGGGGGGGGCAAGGGUUGUUCGGAAUGACUGGGCGUAAAGGGCGCGUAGGUGGCCAACUAAGUCGCACGUGAAAUCCCUCGGCUUAACCGGGGAACUGCGUGUGAUACUGGAUGGCUUGAGUUUGGGAGAGGGAUGCGGAAUUCCAGGUGUAGCGGUGAAAUGCGUAGAUAUCUGGAGGAACACCGGUGGCGAAGGCGGCAUCCUGGACCAAUACUGACGCUGAGGAGCGAAAGCCAGGGGAGCAA
rnacentral:rRNA from 1 species